rnacentral:rRNA from 1 species
CUACGGGAGGCUGCAGUGGGGAAUAUUGCACAAUGGGGGAAACCCUGAUGCAGCAACGCCGCGUGGAGGAUGACACAUUUCGGUGCGUAAACUCCUUUUAUAUAGGAAGAUAAUGACGGUACUAAAUGAAUAAGCACCGGCUAACUCCGUGCCAGCAGCCGCGGUAAUACGGAGGGUGCAAGCGUUACUCGGAAUUACUGGGCGUAAAGAGGGUGUAGGCGGGUUUGUAAGUUGGAUGUGAAAUCCUAUGGCUCAACCAUAGAACUGCAUCCAAAACUACUUACCUAGAGUGUGGGAGAGGUAGAUGGAAUUUCUGGUGUAGGGGUAAAAUCCGUAGAGAUCAGAAGGAAUACCGAUUGCGAAGGCGAUCUACUGGAACAUAACUGACGCUGAGACGCGAAAGCGUGGGGAGCAAACAGGAUUAGAUACCCUAGUAGUC